UAAUUAAUUUGAGGGGGAAAAAUUAAUAAUAAAUUAUAAAAAAAAAAUUUUAAAAAAUAUAUUUUAAUGGGGGUUAAAGUAUAUAUAUAGAAAAAAUUUAAAAAUUUAUAGUGAAAUAGUAUUAUAAAAGAAUUUAUAAAUAGGGGAAAAUAAUUUAUAAAAAAGUAAAUUUAAUUUAUUGUAUCUUGUGUAUCAGAGUUUAUUAAUAAUAAUUAUAAAAUAAUAAUUUCUCGAAUUUAAAAGAGUUAAUUAAUUAUAAAAGUUAAUGUAGAAUAAUUAUUUUUAAUAAUUAAUUGGAAAUGAAAUGUUAAUCGUUUUUAAAAAUAUCUAGUUUUUUUAGAAAAAAAUUUAAUUUUAAAUAUUAUAUUUAAAAUUUUUAUUAGAAAAAAUUUUAUUAAUUAAUAUUAAAUAUUUUAAGGGAUAAGCUUUAAAAUAAAUUUUUAUAAUAAUUUAUUUAAUUUAUUAAAAUUAUAAAAUUUAAAUUGUUUUAUAAAUUAUAAUUUUUUAUAAAUAAUUUAAUUUAAAUUAAAAUUUAAAAGAAAAAAAUUUAAAUUUUUAUAAAAAAAUAUAUUUUAAUAAAAAAAAAUUAGAUAUAAUGAUAAAAUUAGUAUAUAAUUUUUUUUUAAAAAGAAAAUUAUUAAAAGUUAAUUAAAGGAAUUCGGCAAAAUUUUAUAUUCACUUGUUUAUCAAAAACAUGUCUUUUUGAAAAUAAUUUAAAGUCUAAUCUGCCCACUGAUAAUUUAUUAAAGGGCUGCAGUAUUUUGACUGUACAAAGGUAGCAUAAUCAAUAGUCUCUUAAUUGGUGACUUGUAUGAAAGAUUGGAUGAAAUAUAAACUGUCUCUAGUUAAUUUAUAGAAAUUAAUUUUUUAGUAAAAAAGCUAAAAUAAUUUUAAAAGACGAGAAGACCCUAUAGAGUUUAAUAAUUUAUUUAAUUAUUGUUAAUAUAUAAUUUUUAAAAUUAUAAUAAAAUAAAUUAUUUUGUUGGGGUGAUAGAAAAAUUAAAUUAACUUUUUUUAUUUAUUAACAUUGAUUUAUGAUUAAAUGAUCCAUUUAUAAUGAUUAAAAGAAAAAAUUACCUUAGGGAUAACAGCGUAAUUUUUUUUUUUAGUUCAAAUAGGAAAAAAAGUUUGCGACCUCGAUGUUGGAUUAAGAUAAAAUUUAAAUGCAAAAGUUUAAAAUUUUGAUCUGUUCGAUCAUUAAAAUCUUACAUGAUCUGAGUUCAAACCGGUGUAAGCCAGGUUGGUUUCUAUCUUUAAAUAAUUAUAAUAUUUUAGUACGAAAGGAUCAAAUAUUAAAAAUAAUUUUAACAUAAUGAAUAUUAUUAAUAGUCAAUAAUAACUAUUUUGACAGAAAAAAUGUGAU